rnacentral:rRNA from 1 species
AAUUUUGGACAAUGGGGGAAACCCUGAUCCAGCCAUCCCGCGUGUGCGAUGAAGGCCUUCGGGUUGUAAAGCACUUUUGUCCGGGGAGAUAAGGUUCUGGCUAAUACCCGGAACUGAUGACGGUAGCUGAGGAAUAAUCACCGGCUUAGUACGUCCCAGCAGCUGCGGUAAUACGUAGGGUGCAAGCGUUAAUCGGAAUUACUGGGCGUAAAGCGUGCGCAGGCGGUUCGGAAAGAAGGAUGUGAAAUCCCAGGGCUCAACCUUGGAACUGCAUUCUUAACUACCGAACUAGAGUAUGUCAGAGGGGGGUAGAAUUCCGCGUGUAGCAGUGAAAUGCGUAGAUAUGCGGAGGAAUACCGAUGGAGAAGGCAGCACCCUGGGAUAAUACUGACGCUCAUGCAAGAAAGCGUGGGUAGCAAACAG